AAAUUCCACAUUGUUUUCCAGAAACGGUUACUGUAUGGCUGCGCUCGGCUGCGUUGUAAGUCGGGAUAAGCCAUGCAUUUGAUGGAGUUGGGAUCACCCACACGUCCCUUGCGCAAUGAAAGCAGGCGAUAUCGCCAUCAAAAGGCUGCGAGAACGGCGACACCCUUGACUCGAAAGGACAAUGAUUGGCCGCUUGUUGGGGCUUCGGAUUUCUCAAGCAAUUGAACCCUCAUUAAGAUUAAGUAUGGAUCCCGUCUCCACGAGGUUCUGCCCCUCCACGGACAUAACGAGCGGAAUGAGAGAGUUCUUCAGCCCAGCCUAGUCCGUCUUGCCACGCCUUGCAUAUUAUCUAGCACGUCUCAAUCAGAUAGAGAGAGAAAAGGACCCUGCUCCAACGCUCUGUGCGGUGUCGAAUGCGCCCAACUCAAUGGAGGUCCCUGCGUCAUCGGGGUCAACAAAAAGGGUAUGUAACUACGUCAGAGGGGCAGAGGGAACAAGUCUCAGGGUUAGGGUGACGAUAAGAUUGUUUCCCGAUAAGAUAAACAGGUAAUCUUGGCGGGGUUAGGUGGUAGAGGUACACACACUAGGUAGUUCCUGCAAACUAAAAUGCACGGUAGCUGCACUCGUCGAUGCCGCCGGCAUUUGAUAUGGAGAUAUCAACAAACUUACACUUC